rnacentral:lncRNA from 1 species
CACCUGCUGCGAGUAAAAUUUCAACAAUGGCUUUCAUCAAUGCUUGAUAAGUCAAGGGCUAUUUUACAUGCCUCGAAUUAUGCCGCUGGUCGGUGUAAUAUCUCCCUCAUUGCUUCUAUAUAAAAGGUACAUUUUUACUCCUUUCUCUGCCCCCAAGUUCUCUCCCCCAAGGAUGUCAUCCAUUAGAUGAUGAACACGUUAUUCACACUGUUUGACUGAGCGCACAACUGCGUUUCGGAAUGAACAUUUUACACUGAAAAUUCUGAUUUAAUGAGAUGACACAUCCAUUAUCAUAUUCUUGUUGAUCAUUCGAUAUAUGUAUGAAGCCAUAUACUAAUGCGAACAUUGGCUUAGAUAUCUUUUUCGAUGUCCAUGUUUGACUGUUGUCCUGCUUUGGUAAGUCGCAAUUGUGUUUUUCAUUCCUUUUUUUUAUCUGAUGAACAACAAAUAUUUCGCUGUGUUCUUACCGAGUCUCGGCAUUGAAGAAAAACUAUUUCACCUUGGAGAACUGAUCAUAAAGAUCUACUCUUUAUUUUGUGUUGAUGUUGGUGACGACCAGACGCUAACAGAUCUCAGUAGGGAAGCACCGCAUGCUUGGACUUAGUCUGCAUCCUUCUUUCAUAG